GGAUCAAUUUACUGGUCGUGCCUAUGGUACGUACUGGUAUUGUUGGUUCCUCCUUUCUGAGGAGCCGCGAUGUCAUUAACUUGGUGUCGCGGGGAAUCAGGACUGUUACUUUGAAAAAAUUAGAGUGUUUAAAGCAAGCGUACGCUUGAAUACAUUAGCAUGGAAUAAUGAAAUAGGGCU
rnacentral:rRNA from 1 species